UACAGAGGGUGCAAGCGUUGUUCGGAAUUAUUGGGCGUAAAGCGCGUGUAGGCGGCUUGGCAAGUCGGGUGUGAAAGCCCUCAGCUCAACUGAGGAAGUGCGCCCGAAACUGCUUAGCUUGAGUGCCAGAGAGGGUGGCGGAAUUCCCGAAGUAGAGGUGAAAAUUCGUAGAUAUCGGGAGGAACACCGGUGGCGAAGGCGGCCACCUGGCUGGUAACUGACGCUGAGACGCGAAAGCGUGGGUAGCAAACAGG
rnacentral:rRNA from 1 species